GCCAAAGCCCUUCAUUCUUCAAUGGAGGGAAGGCUAAUCAACGCCGUAGCAAACAACCCGGAGCUGUACGACACCAGCUGCUUUGUGUACCGAGACAGGAAUAUAAAGGACCAAGCUUGGAGGAAGAAAUGUGAAGAGAUCGGAACCAGCUGAUUCUGCAGCAGAGCAUCCCCUGUUGCUUCUCCUUGCUCCCCAGUCCCUGAGCUCCUCCUGCUGCACCCACAGGCCCAGAGAGGAGGACAGCUCCGAGGCAGAUGAGGGACUGGUCCCAGGACGGUCCAUCGGCGGUGGAGCUGGCCAUCCUGGUGUCCCUGAAGAGGCCACACCAGUCUCCAAUGGAGCAUUUCCUCCUCAGCCUUGUUCCUGCUCUGGAGAGCAGCUGGGUCCUUUUUAUUCCUGUCUCUCUUUAAAUACUUAUAUUUUAUAUAUUUAUGUUUAAUGUUUUUCUGUUUGAGAAUUUUAAUAUUAUUUCAAAUAAAUUUUUAUAAUG
ensembl:lncRNA